GAUGAACGCUGGCGGCGUGCCUAAUACAUGCAAGUCGAGCGAACGGACGAGAAGCUUGCUUCUCUGAUGUUAGCGGCGGACGGGUGAGUAACACGUGGAUAACCUACCUAUAAGACUGGGAUAACUUCGGGAAACCGGAGCUAAUACCGGAUGAUAUUUUGAACCGCGUGGUUCAAAAGUGAAAGACGGUCUUGCUGUCACUUAUAGAUGGAUCCGCGCUGCAUUAGCUAGUUGGUAAGGUAAUGGCUUACCAAGGCAACGAUGCAUAGCCGACCUGAGAGGGUGAUCGGCCGCACUGGAACUGAGACACGGUCCAGACUCCUACGGGAGGCAGCAGUAGGGAAUCUUCCGCAAUGGGCGAAAGCCUGACGGAGCAACGCCGCGUGAGUGAUGAAGGUCUUCGGAUCGUAAAACUCUGUUAUUAGGGAAGAACAUAUGUGUAAGUAACUGUGCACAUCUUGACGGUACCUAAUCAGAAAGCCACGGCUAACUACGUG
rnacentral:rRNA from 1 species